rnacentral:lncRNA from 1 species
AAAUAUCACUUUUGAUCUUUAAAAAAAACUUUUUGUAUUUCUUUUUCUUUUUGGACUAAUCAAGAGUAUUGUUGCUAAACAACUUUCAUGCCUAAUACUACACAAACCAAACAUGGGAAUGGGUAAAAAUGACCUUUCUUGGUCCUCAUUGUUGGAAAUAAUCAGUAACUUUGUAUAAUAUAUAUAUAUAUAUAUACAGCACUCAGUAAAAGCAAAAGCUUUCGCGUGCUUCUACAGUCAC